GACAGAGGGUGCGAACGUCGUUCGGAAUUACUGGGCGUAAAGCGCAUGUAGGCGGCCGCGCAGGUCGGAUGUGAAAUCCCUCGGCUCACCCGAGGACGUGCAUUCGAAACCGCGUGGCUCGAGUCCUGGAGAGGGUCGUGGAAUUCUCGGCGUAGAGGUGAAAUUCGUAGAUAUCGGGAGGAACACCGGCGGCGAAAGCGGCGACCUGGACAGAGACUGACGCUGAGAUGCGAAAGCGUGGGGAGCAAACAGG
rnacentral:rRNA from 1 species